UUAACCCCCAUCUGAUUCAUUCGUCUAUAUAAAACACAAAGCCGUGAUUUAAAUAGCCUAUUUAUUAGAUAGGUUAAUACAGGGAUCUAAACAUACGACAAUGAGGAUUUUAAUUAUUCUCGCUCUGUACAUAUGUUUGAUGACUAGCAAUAAAACGACGGCUGUGUGUACUGAAUCUAGACGUAAAACGUGUGAUGAGCCCCACUUGAAAGCUUUACUUAAUUUAUCUGACAGUUUAAGCAAGCCUGUGGAAGAAAUAAGAAAGGAAUUCUGCUCGAUAAUGGCCACAAUGAUUAGAUGUUACAAAAAUGUUGACUGUUAUAUUAGUCCUGCACAAGAGAAAGCAGUGUAUGACAAACUGGCUAAAAAGGGUGUACACUGUGGUGGAUGUAUGGCGUCCUAUAGUUAUGUACUGAUGGGUCUGUCAGCAGUGUUGAUUAUGAUAAACAACAAGUUUUAACAGUCCAACAUUCUUUGCUGAAUCAUGCAAUAUAGUUUCCUGGAUCAAAUAACGAACCGGGAAUAUUAGCGACGCAUGGAGAAAUUUGUAUUUUAUAUAAUAUCAUAUCAAUAAAAAUUUGAAGCAAGAUUCGCCUUAUUAUCGAAAACACCAGCACUGGCAUCCUUAGACAAAAGUAUUUCACAGGAAUGUCAGAAGCUAUAACGUAUAGGAUUCGUAUUGAAUCUUAAAACGUCUAUAUCUCGGCAAUGAAUUUGCAGAUUGAACUCGGGAAUAUGUAAUCAAAUCACGUGCAAUCGAUCGAGAAAGUAAGGGUACCUCUUUAACAAUUUAGGCUACUGUUAAUUGCUAUAAUAUUUGCAUAUUGUCCGAAACGUAAGACUAUUCACUUGUUUCCGUUGCACGAAGCAUAUGUUUGUACGAAUUCUUAAGACUAAAGUGUGCUAUGUGCAACGGGGUACUUGUCAAUAUAUAAAUAUAUAUAUUUUUAAGAUUUUAUUUACUCUUGCCAGUUUAAUAGGCAUACCUGUUAACUUACGAGCCAUUUAAUGUAUAAUUAGUAUGGUCAUUGAAUACUUACAAUUAGUCUUGCCAUUUAAUACUUACGUGGACAUAAUUAGUCCUGCAGGCAUUCAAUACUUGCAUAAUUAGUCCUGCCAUGGAAUACUUGUAUGAUUGGGCUUGCCAUGGAAGACUUGCAUAAUUAGUCCCUCCAUUUAAUGCCUACAUAAUUAGACUUGCAUAAUUAGGCUUGCCAUUCAAUACAUAUUUAUUUUUUUUAUAUCAGAGUUUUUUUUACGCAGCAUGUAUCACUGAAUUGACCCACAGAUUUAUAUCAGAGAUUUUUACAUAGCAUGUAUCACUAAAACAACCUACAGAUAUAUAUCCGCUGAAAAAUAUUAAUUAUGUAGCAUAUAUCACUGAAACGACCCACAGAUCUAUAUCCGCUGAAAAAUAUU